rnacentral:rRNA from 1 species
CAGUAGCCGCGGUAAUACGAAGGGGGCUAGCGUUGUUCGGAUUUACUGGGCGUAAAGCGCACGUAGGCGGAUCGAUCAGUCAGGGGUGAAAUCCUGGAGCUCAACUCCAGAACUGCCUUUGAUACCGUCGAUCUCGAGUCCGGAAGAGGUGAGUGGAACUCCUAGUGUAGAGGUGGAGUUCGUAGAUAUUAGGAAGAACACCAGUGGCGAAGGCGGCUCACUGGUCCGGUACUGACGCUGAGGUGCGAAAGCGUGGGGAGCAAACAGGAUUAGAUACCCCCGUAGUCCCUGUCUCUUAUAC